UACGUAGGUGGCAAGCGUUGUCCGGAAUUAUUGGGCGUAAAGCGCGCGCAGGCGGUCCUUUAAGUCUGAUGUGAAAGCCCACGGCUCAACCGUGGAGGGUCAUUGGAAACUGGGGGACUUGAGUACAGAAGAGAAGAGUGGAAUUCCACGUGUAGCGGUGAAAUGCGUAGAUAUGUGGAGGAACACCUGUGGCGAAGGCGCCUUGCUGGCCAAUUUCUGACGCUGGGGCGCGAAAGCGUGGGGAGCAAACAGG
rnacentral:rRNA from 1 species